AAACUGAGUAGUGCAUGGGUGCAUCACACAAUCUUUGCCUACUAAAGUACUUUUUGGAGAAUGGGGAUUUUUAGCCAUUUUUGUACUGGAAUACCCAUCUGGAUGACAUUCUAAUGCUUGAUAUACUUUCUUGGAAGCAGAGCUUCCAGAACUUCAAGACAAUAGAUUUCUGCUGUUUGAAGCCACUAGUGUGUGGUCAUUUGUUAUGGCAGCCCCAGGAAACUAAUACACCUUGCAAACUUCAGGUUCUGAGAUGGCAAUUGCUGGUUUCAUUGGUCUGGAGAUUUCAUCUUUCAGAGCUGUCAAGGAUUUUAGUGGCUAUGAGGAGAGAACUCUGAUGAUAAAGUGUAUUGAUUCAUGACUGCAUUCAUAUAAAACACUAAAUGGAAUUUUGAAUGGCAAGAACAUGUUUUGUACAUUCAAUAAAUGAGAA